AUGGAGAGUUUGAUCCUGGCUCAGGACGAACGCUGGCGGCGUGCUUAACACAUGCAAGUCGAACGAGAAGAGAUGAGAAGCUUGCUUCUUAUCAAUUCGAGUGGCAAACGGGUGAGUAACGCGUAAGCAACCUGCCCUUCAGAUGGGGACAACAGCUGGAAACGGCUGCUAAUACCGAAUACGUUCUUUCUGCCGCAUGACAGGGGGAAGAAAGGGAGGCUCUUCGGAGCUUUCGCUGAAGGAGGGGCUUGCGUCUGAUUAGCUAGUUGGAGGGGUAACGGCCCACCAAGGCGACGAUCAGUAGCCGGUCUGAGAGGAUGAACGGCCACAUUGGGACUGAGACACGGCCCAGACUCCUACGGGAGGCAGCAGUGGGGAAUCUUCCGCAAUGGACGAAAGUCUGACGGAGCAACGCCGCGUGAACGAUGACGGCCUUCGGGUUGUAAAGUUCUGUUAUACGGGACGAAUGGCGUAACGGUCAAUACCCGUUACGAGUGACGGUACCGUAAGAGAAAGCCACGGCUAACUACGUGCCAGCAGCCGCGGUAAUACGUAGGUGGCAAGCGUUGUCCGGAAUUAUUGGGCGUAAAGGGCGCGCAGGCGGUCUGGUAAGUCGGUCUUAAAAGUGCGGGGCUUAACCCCGUGAGGGGACCGAAACUGCCAGA
rnacentral:rRNA from 1 species